ACCUGAGGAGCCCGUUAUUUACGCAGAAGUGAACACAAGUGCUGCAGAACUCGCUCCAACGUACGCUGAAAUCAAUAAGAACAGAGCCAAGCGAAACAGGAGAGAAAAACCUGCAGCAACAGAUGAAUCAGUUUAUUCUGAAAUCAAAUCAGGGGCAACUCUGGAAGGUGAAUCUGCCUUUUAGCACACCAUGCAAACUUAGAUGUUUGUGUACAUGCUUAUCUAUUUUGGUACUUUUAAAUAUAACUAAUAUAUGUCUCUGAUCCAAAAUGCUGUGAAAGUGUGAAAUAUAUAAUCAUCUAUUUUCUCUGUUACAUAAUUAAAACAUAUUUAGUUGUAUUAAGUGAUAC